rnacentral:rRNA from 1 species
AAGUAGGGGAUCGCAAGACCUUGCGCUUUUGGAGCGGCCGAUGUCUGAUUAGCUAGUUGGUGAGGUAAAGGCUUACCAAGGCUUCGAUCAGUAGCUGGUCUGAGAGGACGACCAGCCACACUGGGACUGAGACACGGCCCAGACUCCUACGGGAGGCAGCAGUGGGGAAUUUUGGACAAUGGGGGCAACCCUGAUCCAGCCAUGCCGCGUGAGUGAAGAAGGCCUUCGGUUGUAAAGCUCUUUCAGCCGGAACGAAACGGUUACGGUUAAUACCCGUGACUAAU